GUGCUCACUUUGGCAGCACCUAUACUAAAAUUGGAACUACGCAGAGGCGAUUAGCAUGGCUAUUACGCAAGGAUGACAAGCUGAUUCAUGAAGUGUUCCAUAUUAAA
ensembl:snRNA U6 U6 spliceosomal RNA